GACGAACGCUGGCGGCGUGCUUAACACAUGCAAGUCGAGCGGUAAGGCCCGUUUCGGGGGUACACGAGCGGCGAACGGGUGAGUAACACGUGGGUGACCUGCCCUCAGUUCUGGGAUAAGCCUGGGAAACCGGGUCUAAUACUGGAUAUGACCUCAUGACGCAUGUUGUGGGGUGGAAAGCCUUGUGCGACUGAGGAUGGGCCCGCGGCCUAUCAGCUUGUUGGUGGGGUGAUGGCCUACCAAGGCGACGACGGGUAGCCGGCCUGAGAGGGCGACCGGCCACACUGGGACUGAGACACGGCCCAGACUCCUACGGGAGGCAGCAGUGGGGAAUCUUGCGCAAUGGGCGAAAGCCUGACGCAGCGACGCCGCGUGAGGGAUGACGGCCU
rnacentral:rRNA from 1 species